rnacentral:rRNA from 1 species
AACGAACGCUGGCGGCAGGCCUAACACAUGCAAGUCGAGCGCCCCGCCAGGGGAGCGGCGGCCGGGUGAGUAACGCGUGGGAAUAUGCCCUUUGCUACGGAAUAGUCUCGGGAAACUGGGGGUAAUACCGUAUACGCCCUUUGGGGGAAAGAUUUAUCGGCGAAGGAUUAGCCCGCGUUGGAUUAGGUAGUUGGUGGGGUAAUGGCCUACCAAGCCGACGAUCCAUAGCUGGUUUGAGAGGAUGAUCAGCCACACUGGGACUGAGACACGGCCCAGACUCCUACGGGAGGCAGCAGUGGGGAAUCUUAGACAAUGGGGGCAACCCUGAUCUAGCCAUGCCGCGUGAGUGAUGAAGGCCUUAGGGUUGUAAAGCUCUUUCAGCUGGGAAGAUAAUGACGGUACCAACAGAAGAAGCCCCGGUUAACUCCGUG